AAGAAAGCAAACAUAUCUUACGGCAAAGUGAAAGACCGAAGCCACUGCCUGAGUUUCUACAAAGCCGCCAGUUUACUUUUCAUAACUGAAAACCAAGGAUUGAAAAUACCAUCUUCUGUCUACGAACUAGCAGGAAGCACACAGGACGAAGGCAAUGGCACCACUGUCUGGUUUCAUAUACAGUAAAAAGGAAUCUUUCACUAUCAACCACCUGUAAGAAGGAGGAUAUGCAGCAAGAAAGGAGUUCGUCAGCCAGCCUUUGGGAGUCCGAUCCCAGCUCCCUGGGCUCUGAUCCCAGCUCUGCCACCCGCCUGACUGUGUGAACUUGGGUAACUGAGCCUGAGGUCUAAAUCCAUACAAUGGGGAUAACAGCAGUGCGCAGCUCAGACACGUUUGUGAGAAGUAACAGAUGAUUCAUCUAGUAGCUCAGCACCGUGCCUCCCACUA